GUGGGGAAUUUUGGACAAUGGGCGCAAGCCUGAUCCAGCAAUGCCGCGUGCAGGAAGAAGGCCUUCGGGUUGUAAACUGCUUUUGUACGGAACGAAACGGUCCUGGCUAAUAUCCGGGGCUAAUGACGGUACCGUAAGAAUAAGCACCGGCUAACUACGUGCCAGCAGCCGCGGUAAUACGUAGGGUGCGAGCGUUAAUCGGAAUUACUGGGCGUAAAGCGUGCGCAGGCGGUGCUGUAAGACAGGCGUGAAAUCCCCGGGCUCAACCUGGGAAUUGCGGUUGUGACUGCAGUGCUGGAGUGCGGCAGAGGGGGAUGGAAUUCCGCGUGUAGCAGUGAAAUGCGUAGAUAUGCGGAGGAACACCGAUGGCGAAGGCAAUCCCCUGGGCCUGCACUGACGCUCAUGCACGAAAGCGUGGGGAGCAAACAGGAUUAGAAACCCGUGUAGUCC
rnacentral:rRNA from 1 species